rnacentral:rRNA from 1 species
GCGGAGGGAUCAUUGCUGGAACUGCGCCCCCCCCACGGGCGCAACCCCAGAUACCCUUUGUGAA